AUUGAACGCUGGCGGCAGGCCUAACACAUGCAAGUCGAACGAGUGGCGGACGGGUGAGUAAUGUCUGGGAAACUGCCUGAUGGAGGGGGAUAACUACUGGAAACGGUAGCUAAUACCGCAUACCAUCUGAUGUGCCCAGAUGGGAUUAGCUAGUAGGUGGGGUAACGGCUCACCUAGGCCACGAUCCCUAGCUGGUCUGAGAGGAUGACAAGCCACACUGGAACUGAGACACGGUCCCGACUCCUACGGUAGGCAGCAGUGGGGAAUAUUGCACAAUGGGAGCAAGCCUGAUGCAGACAUGCCGCGUGUAUGAAGAAGGCCUUCGGGUUGUAAAGUACUUUCAGCGGGGAGGCGUUACCGGCAGAAGAAGCACCGGCUAACUCCGUGCCAGCAGCCGCGGUAAUAC
rnacentral:rRNA from 1 species